rnacentral:rRNA from 1 species
UUCAUCAUCCCGGCGCUCUCCAUGACGAGGAGGGAGUAGUUCACCCUCGGGGCUGAGGGUAUGUACCAGUAGCUAUGUGUUUGAUCUCUCUCUCUCUCGUGUUCCCUCUAUGGCACGAUCUUGAUGUAUCCCGAGCUUUGCUAUUGUAGUUGGAUCUUAUGAUGUUUCUCCCCCUCUACUCUCUUGUGAUGAAUUGAGUUUCCCC